AUUCAGCUGACGUGUCCCAAAAAGGACGAAUCGAACGUCAAACUGGAU
rfam:Schistosoma margrebowiei strain Zambia genome assembly, scaffold: SMRZ_contig0010545